UACGUAGGGUGCGAGCGUUGUCCGGAAUUAUUGGGCGUAAAGAGCUUGUAGGUGGUUUGUCGCGUCUGCUGUGAAAAUCCGAGGCUCAACCUCGGACUUGCAGUGGGUACGGGCAGACUAGAGUGUGGUAGGGGAGGCUGGAAUUCCUGGUGUAGCGGUGAAAUGCGCAGAUAUCAGGAGGAACACCGAUGGCGAAGGCAGGUCUCUGGGCCACUACUGACGCUGAGAAGCGAAAGCAUGGGGAGCGAACAGG
rnacentral:rRNA from 1 species